rnacentral:rRNA from 1 species
GACGAACGCUGGCGGUAUGCUUAACACAUGCAAGUCGAACGAGACGAAGAUGAAGUGCUUGCACGGAUUCUUUAGAAAGUGGCGAACGGGUGAGUAACGCGUGGGUAACCUGCCCUAUGGAAAGGAAUAGCCUCGGGAAACUGGGAGUAAUGCCUUAUAGUAUAUCGGGAUCGCAUGAUGCUGAUAUGAAACGCUCCGGUGCCAUAGGAUGGACCCGCGUCCCAUUAGCUAGUUGGUGAGAUAACAGCCCACCAAGGCGACGAUGGGUAACCGGUCUGAGAGGGCGAACGGUCACACUGGAACUGAGACACGGUCCAGACUCCUACGGGAGGCAGCAGUGGGGAAUAUUGCGCAAUGGGGGAAACCCUGACGCAGCAAUACCGCGUGAGUGGAGAAGGUUUUCGGAUCGUAAAGCUCUGUUAUUGGGGAAGAAAAAGGACGGUACCCAAGAAGAAAGUCCCGGCUAACUACGUGCCAGCCGCCGCCGUAAAAC